rnacentral:rRNA from 1 species
CCUACGGGAGGCAGCAGUGGGGGAUAUUGCACAAUGGGGGGAACCCUGAUGCAGCGACGCCGCGUGGGUGAAGGAGUGCUUCGGCAUGUAAAGCCCUAUCGGCAGGGAAGAAGCAAGACGGUACCUGACUAAGAAGCCCCGGCUAACUACGUGCCAGCAGCCGCGGUAAUACGUAGGGGGCGAGCGUUAUCCGGAUGCACUGGGUGUAAAGGGAGCGUAGACGGCCAUGCAAGCCAGGGGUGAAAGCCCGGGGCCCAACCCCGGGACUGCCCUUGGAACUGUGCGGCUAGAGUGCGGGAGGGGCAGGCGGAAUUCCUGGUGUAGCAGUGAAAUGCGUAGAUAUCAGGAGGAACACCGGCGGCGAAGGCGGCCUGCUGGACUGCGACUGACGUUGAGGCUCGAAAGCGUGGGGAGCGAACAGGAUUAGAUACCCCAGUAGUC